UUGGGAGAAGAGCCCAGUGCGAUCCGCUAGGAGCAGAACACAAGUAUCCUCAAAGAUGGUGGAUUAUAAAGAUUGCGCAAAAAGGCCUUUUACCAUUGAACAAAAUGGUCACAGUUCCGGGCGACUUAAAGGGAGACUUCACCACCAGACACUAUUUGGGGAACAUACAGUCCUAUUUAUUUGAGCCGGAAUACACUGAAGAGGAAUUGAGACAGCGAGAAAAAGAAUUGCGAGAUCAGCAAGCAGAGACAGUACCACUUGGAUACAAAGAAGUUGAUGACUCUCAAGAGGAGAUGUGAAAAGGUCCCAUAACAAAAAUCUCCCCUUGUAUCAAAGUGACUCCGAACAUCCCACUUCACCACCCAAACACACCCUAUGCAAGUUUUCCAUUUGUAGAACUGUAGUAGUUAUUCUAAGCGUUAGUAUUAUAUUUGUAUUAUGUUGUAUAUAUGUCAUACAUUGCCAUAACUGUUUCUGCAUACUGCUGUGUAAACUCACCUCGGUAUCCAAAACAAAUCAACUUUGUCUUGAAUACAAGCAAUGUCUACUUAUUUGCUAUAUUGAGACGAAUCUACUAUUUUAUUCAAACAUUUUACUUGCCAACAAAUUAAAGUUUAAAACUCUGUGCAUCAUUUGUUUUAGCAGUAAGACUCAAGCUAGUUUAUCCAAAUACAUUUCAUGUAUCACAAUGAAUUGAUCAAGAAGUUGAAGUCAACACUUUAUUGGUUUCUGAUGCAACUGGAAUAAUUUAGUCAC